UCUACGGGAGGCAGCAGUGAGGAAUAUUGGUCAAUGGGCGUGAGCCUGAACCAGCCAAGUCGCGUGAGGGAAGACGGUCCUAUGGAUUGUAAAUCUCUCUUGUCGGGGAGCAAAAGACGCCACGCGUGGCGUUCCGAGAGUACCCGAAGAUAAAGCAUCGGCUAACUCUGUGCCAGCAGCCGCGGUAAUACGGAGGAUGCGAGCGUUAUCCGGUGUUAUUGGGGUUAAAGGGUGCGCAGGCGGAAGAUCAAGUCAGCGGUAAAAUUGAGAGGCUCAACCUCUUAGAGCAGUUGAUACUGGUUGGCUUGAGUGCGUGAGAGGUAUGCGGAAUGCGUGGUGUAGCGGUGAAAUGCAUAGGUAUCACGAAGAACUCCGGUUGCGAAGGCAGCGUACCGGCGCUCAACUGACGCUCAUGAACGAAAGUGUGGGUAUCGAACAGGAUUAGAUACCCUUGUAGUC
rnacentral:rRNA from 1 species